GGGGCGCUCUGACCUUGUCAGAACUGCUUGAUUUUCCAGAAGCCCUUUGCAUUCGGUCCACAACAACCUAACGCAACAAGUAAUAAAAUACUCAGCUCAUCUUCAUCCUUUUAAUCGUUGGAUGACCAUCACUCCACCUUGUUUCAUAUUCAGGGAGCAACAAUAAGACGUGACGAUGGAACAGGAGCCAUCAUUGUGGCCCGGAUCAUGAGAGGAGGAGCAGCAGACAGAAGCGGGCUGAUUCAUUCUGGAGAUGAACUGAAGGAGGUCAACGGGAUCCCUGUGGAUGACAAGAAACCAGAGGAUAUCAUUCGUAUCCUGACCUCAGGCGUCGCAUCACUCGGGCUCCAACCAGACACCGGUCUUUUUCUGCUCCGAGUCUUUUCUGGC